AUGCCUUAAACUAAUGAGUAAGGAAAAUAACGAGCUUGGUUAACGACAGGCUCCUAGGUCAAUCCUAGAAGAAUUUAUGAAGGGGUACAGGUCGCCCUGGGGUGACCCGCCUACUUUGCGGGAUGCCCUUGUUGCAGUGAUCUGCCCU